rnacentral:rRNA from 1 species
GACGAACGCUGGCGGCGUGCUUAACACAUGCAAGUCGAACGGAAAGGCCCUGCUUUUGUGGGGUGCUCGAGUGGCGAACGGGUGAGUAACACGUGAGUAACCUGCCCUUGACUUUGGGAUAACUUCAGGAAACUGGGGCUAAUACCGGAUAGGAGCUCCUGCUGCAUGGUGGGGGUUGGAAAGUUUCGGCGGUUGGGGAUGGACUCGCGGCUUAUCAGCUUGUUGGUGGGGUAGUGGCUUACCAAGGCUUUGACGGGUAGCCGGCCUGAGAGGGUGACCGGCGACAUGGGGACUGAGAGACGGCCCAGACUCCAACGGGAGGCAGCAGGGGGGAAUAUUGCACAAUGGGCGGAAGCCUGAUGCAGCAACGCCGCGUGCGGGAUGACGGCCUUCGGGUUGUAAACCGCUUUCGCCUGUGACGAAGCGUGAGUGACGGUAAUGGGUAAAGAAGCACCGGCUAACUACGUG